rnacentral:rRNA from 1 species
CGAACGGGUGAGUAACACGUGAGCAACCUGCCCCAGGCUUUGGGAUAACCCCGGGAAACCGGGGCUAAUACCGAAUAUGACCUCCGAUCGCAUGGUUGGUGGUGGAAAGUUUUUCGGCUUGGGAUGGGCUCGCGGCCUAUCAGCUUGUUGGUGGGGUGAUGGCCUACCAAGGCGACGACGGGUAGCCGGCCUGAGAGGGCGACCGGCCACACUGGGACUGAGACACGGCCCAGACUCCUACGGGAGGCAGCAGUGGGGAAUAUUGCACAAUGGGCGGAAGCCUGAUGCAGCGACGCCGCGUGAGGGAUGACGGCCUUCGGGUUGUAAACCUCUUUCAGCAGGGACGAAGCGUAAGUGACGGUACCUGCAGAAGAAGCGCCGGCCAACUACGUGCCAGCAGCCGCGGUAAGACGUAGGGCGCGAGCGUUGUCCGGAUUUAUUGGGCGUAAAGAGCUCGUAGGCGGCUUGUCGCGUCGACUGUGAAAACCCGCAGCUCAACUGCGGGCCUGCAGUCGAUACGGGCAGGCUAGAGUUCGGUAGGGGAGACUGGAAUUCCUGGUGUAGCGGUGAAAUGCGCAGAUAUCAGGAGGAACACCGGUGGCGAAGGCGGGUCUCUGGGCCGAUACUGACGCUGAGGAGCGAAAGCGUGGGGAGCGAACAGGAUUAGAUACCCUGGUAGU